AUUACAACACAAAAUUAAAAUUCCACAAAAUGAAAUGUUCCUUAAUCUUACAAUAUAUUGAUAACGCAGAAACUCUUAAAUCGAUUAUCAGCAAGCAUUGGUACUUUUUACCAAAUUACCCUAUUUUAGCUUGAUUAUUACCGGAGAAACCAAGUGUGAUUUUCAAAGGGGGCACCUAAUAUGAGAAAUAAAUUAGACGCUUUUGUGCACCCAUGACCUCAAGUCAUUUCCUUAAAGG